AGAGUUUGAUCCUGGCUCAGAGCGAACGCUGGCGGCAGGCUUAACACAUGCAAGUCGAACGCCAUCUUCGGAUGGAGUGGCAGACGGGUGAGUAACGCGUGGGAACGUACCCUUUGGUUCGGAAUAUUCUCGGGAAACUGGGAGCAAUACCGGAUAAGCCCUACGGGGGAAAGAUUUAUCGCCAAAGGAGCGGCCCGCGUCAGAUUAGGUAGUUGGUGGGGUAAAGGCCUACCAAGCCUACGAUCUGUAGCUGGUCUGAGAGGAUGAUCAGCCACACUGGGACUGAGACACGGCCCAGACUCCUACGGGAGGCAGCAGUGGGGAAUCUUGGACAAUGGGCGCAAGCCUGAUCCAGCCAUGCCGCGUGGAUGAUGAAGGCCUUAGGGUUGUAAAAUCCUUUCAACGGGGACGAUAAUGACGGUACCCGUAGAAGAAGCCCCGGCUAACUUCGUGCCAGCAGCCGCGGGAAUACGAAGGGGGCUAGCGUUGCUCGGAAUUACUGGGCGUAAAGCGCACGUAGGCGGAUAUUUAAGUCGGAGGUGAAAGCCCAGGG
rnacentral:rRNA from 1 species